AGAGGUUCAUUAUUCGUUUUGCCUUCGAACGGAAAGGUCUCCUAAAGGGAAGAAAAUUUUAUUAGAAAAAAAAAUCAGUGUCGAAAUUUCAAAGUGUUUUAAAGCUAGAAGCUAUCUUUUGGAAGAAAUUUUACAACUAGAAGAACCACUGAAGCAUUACUACCUGCGCUGGACUUGUGAAAGCAAGAACAUCAGAACGCUCUUGAAGCUCCAACUUUGAAGCAAUCCAGCUGCUGCGCCACAACUGUUUGAUUUCUCGAAGAAUCAAUCCAUACAAAAAAAACCGAAAAUGUGCGAUCCGUGCUGUGGUCCCUGCGAUCCCUGCUACUCCUGCUAUCCUUGCACACCUAAACCAUGCAAGAGUCGCGAGCUCCGAGGCGGAAUUCUCAUCUCCAACUGCGAGUGUCUUAAGCGCAACGGUCUCCAACAUGACUGCCCACGUUCGGAGUGUCAGGCAAAACCAUGCUGUCUGACGAAACCCGAAGCUUCCUGCUGUCCAUCGCAGUGGGCCCGACGCUACCGGUUCGUGACGAUGGGCAAGAAAAGCAAUCCGGUGCGUCCAUCGAAGAACUGCUGCCUGCCCUGCGGAGGUGGCGGGUGCAAUCCUUGCCCAAUCGAUCCGACCUGUUGCGCACCUUGUGGACCAUGUGGACCUUGCGGACCUUGCGGACCAUGUGACCCAUGUGGACCUUGUAAUCCGUGUGGACCUUGUGGACCUUGCGGCCCGUGUGACCCGUGUGGACCUUGUGGACCUUGCGGCCCGUGUGGACCCUGCGGACCCUGCGGACCUUGUGACCCGUGCUGUGCCCCUGCAUGCGGUCCGGUGUGUGAUCCUAGCUAUCCUCCGGUGUGUGAUCCUUCCUGCAGCGUACCUUACUAUCCGCUGAAGCGCAUCCGGUCGGCUGUACGGCAGCCUACGCCCCGGCCGAAGAUGGCCAAAACCAAUUGGUACUGUCCGCCCCGGUACACGAUCUGGCGUCCACCGGCGCCCUGUCGUUACCGGGCACCGUGCAAAGCUCACUGCUACAAUGUGGAGCGGUUUUGUUGUCCCUGUUAGGGGGCGAUGCGUUUGUAGGGUGAAAUAAACUCCACUUGUUUAUCUAAAUUGGCGACCCUUGCAGUGAUGGCUGCAUACCCUGUGGACCGUGCUAGGAUGUUAAGAACCGUGAGGAGCGGUUCACACAACCGAAUGCAUACACAUCCGUGUCUAACACAACUCGCCCCCCAUCAAUGCCUGGUUAUGUAGGUAGUGUGCCAACCAACUCCAGGACCUAGUCUCUCUUUUUACGCCAUCGUUAUUAGGAAAAGGAACACGCCCACGGCUGCAAGAACGAAUAUCGGCGAUCUUACUACUCCGUUCGAAGAGAAAUUACUCGUGUUGUUUCUAUGCUUCCCUGUCGUUAAAUAUCUCUGUUGAGUUUGAAGAAAAUUUUAUCACACGUUACAUAGAGAGGCAGCCUCGCACACCAUCGUUAGCAAAGCAUCGUGCAUAUGCUUCCCGUAGAGAGAGAGAGAGAGCAGAACGCAUCGAUAGGCACCCAUUAUCACCAUACUCCUCCAAACGCACGAGAAAAUCGUCUAGCAGCACCCAGUUGAAAGUAGCGCCGAACAUAUGUUCAGUGGAAUAAAAAGCGUAAAAACGAUUCGGAAAUCAAACUAAA